UAUAGUGUGGAAAGUUUGUGGAAAUAGACAACCUCGCGGAGGUUGGGUGAAUUUUCGCAAAGUGAAUUUUACUCGAAAGUUAAGAUUUGAUUUUAUUCUCAUCUAAUUGGGUAAUGAAAAACCUCUAUCCAAGUUAAUACGCGUGCAUUAAAAGGAGAUUGACUAGUAGGAUUGGCCUGCGUUAAAUUAAUUAUUCCUUUGGGAAAAAAUACAGUGCUUCACAGAAAUACGAAAUAUCAUGGCGGUACCCACUACCGGUGUAGUUGUUCCUCGAAACUUUCGUUUGCUGGAGGAAUUAGAACAGGGUCAGAAAGGUGUAGGAGAUGGUACAAUUAGUUGGGGAUUAGAAAAUGAUGAUGACAUGACGCUUACACAUUGGACCGGAAUGAUAAUUGGACCACCUAGAACGCCGUAUGAAAAUAGAAUGUAUAGUUUGAAAAUUGAUUGUGGUCAGAAAUACCCAGACGAAGCACCCAGUGUAAAGUUUUUAAGCAGAAUUAAUAUGAAUUGUAUCAAUAGCACUACCGGAGCUGUUGACAAUCGCAAUGUACCAGUACUUUCCAAAUGGCAAAGAGAAUACACAAUCAAGACAGUUUUGCAAGAGCUGCGUCGUCUCAUGACACUCAAAGAGAAUAUGAAACUUUCUCAGCCACCAGAGGGCAGUACAUUUUAGCCUAACCACAUAUAAAUUUAUCACCUCUUCCUUUUUAUGGUAGCACGAGGAGAGAUAUAAUAAUAGAGGUACCAAAUAAUACUAAAAUGGUGCCCGGUGGAAAUAUAUGCUAAGAUGUAAUGCCUUUACGAAAGAAAGGCGAUAAUAGCUUGAAAAGUUGGAUAUGAAUUUUGUGUUUAGGUAAUAAAACUGUUACACGAUAGCCGUAAUCUUUCUCAUCUUAAGAGAUUAUUACCGCUUACUGUUUCUGAGAUGCUUAUGAGGUAUGUGCUCAUAAAAUAUAUUAUUCCAACUUUUCAAGCUAUUAUGGUAUAAAACAAAUAAAAGUCACACACAACAUAUUUUGAAUCUUAAACUGAAUACACCGAUUGUCUAAUAAAAAUAAUAAUCAGUAAGAAAAAAAUUAUGCCUUUGAAGUUUUUUAAAUGAAAGAGAGAAAGAACAAAUGAAAAAAAGGAGAGAAAAGAGAAGAAAAGAACAAAAAAAAAAAAAACAAUCUCUAAUAUACAAACCAACUAAUAUUUCUGUUUAUAAAUAAGUGCCAUCUCUUAUGAUUUGAAAAUUAUAAUUUUAUGGAGUUGUCUCAAUUAAUCAUAGAGACGGAUUACUGUGAAAGUUUCUAAACCUAUGUAAAUUUUGAUAAAUUGGUCAAUUGGUAAUACGUAGGUAGCUUGGAUUUAUAAUUCAGAUACAUUGAAACGAAGUUUACAGAAUAAAAUCUUCAUUGGAACAUAAUUCCUUUGAUAUGACUAAGUGACAAGAAGUAAAAGAAAAUUCUAUCUAACAAAAGUUAGAUUAUUAAAAAUGAAUUCAUCCAAAAUUUUGUAUAA
rnacentral:misc_RNA from 1 species